CCCAGAGAUGGGUGCCCCUUGUGGUCGGUGGACAGGUGGUGCAUGGUUGUCGUCAGCUCGUGUCGUGAGAUGUUGGGUUAAGUCCCGCAACGAGCGCAACCCUCGUCCUAUGUUGCCAGCGGGUCAUGCCGGGGACUCAUGGGAGACUGCCGGGGUCAACUCGGAGGAAGGUGGGAUGACGUCAAAUCAUCAUGCCCCUUAUGACCUGGGCUACACACGUGCUACAAUGGUUGGUACAACGAGUUGCGAGUCGGUGACGGCGAGCUAAUCUCUUAAAGCCAAUCUCAGUUCGGAUUGUAGGCUGCAACUCGCCUACAUGAAGUCGGAAUCGCUAGUAAUCGCGGAUCAGCACGCCGCGGUGAAUACGUUCCCGGGCCUU
rnacentral:rRNA from 1 species